rnacentral:rRNA from 1 species
GUAUAAUGGGUCAGCGACUUAUAUUCAGUGGCAAGGUUAACCAUCUAGGGGAGCCGUAGGGAAACCGAGUCUUAACUGGGCGUUCAGUCUCUGGAUAUAGACCCGAAACCAGGUGAUCUAGCCAUGGGCAGGUUGAAGGUUGAGUAACAUCAACUGGAGGACCGAACCGACUAAUGUUGAAAAAUUAGCGGAUGACUUGUGGCUAGGGGUGAAAGGCCAAUCAAACCUGGAGAUAGCUGGUUCUCCCCGAAAGCUAUUUAGGUAGCGCCUCGGACGAAUACUACUGGGGGUAGAGCACUGUUAAGGCUAGGGGGUCAUCCCGACUUACCAACCCUUUGCAAACUCCGAAUACCAGUAAGUACUAUCCGGGAGACACACGGCGGGUGCUAACGUCCGUCGUGGAGAGGGAAACAACCCAGACCGCCAGCUAAGGUCCCAAAUUACUACUAAGUGGGAAACGAUGUGGGAAGGCUCAGACAGCCAGGAUGUUGGCUUAGAAGCAGCCAUCAUUUAAAGAAAGCGUAAUAGCUCACUGGUCGAGUCGGCCUGCGCGGAAGAUGUAACGGGGCUAAGUAGUAAACCGAAGCUGCGGCAAUACUCUUUGAGUAUUGGGUAGGGGAGCGUUCUGUAAGCGGUUGAAGGUGUGUGGUAACGCAUGCUGGACGUAUCAGAAGUGCGAAUGCUGACAUGAGUAACGAUAAAGGGGGUGAAAAACCUCCUCGCCGGAAGACCAAGGGUUCCUGUCCAACGUUAAUCGGGGCAGGGUAAGUCGACCCCUAAGGCGAGGCCGAAAGGCGUAGUCGAUGGGAAACGGGUUAAUAUUCCCGUACUUCUUACAAUUGCGAUGGGGGGACGGAGAAGGCUAGGUGGGCCUGGCGACGGUUGUCCAGGUUCAAGUGCGUAGGCUUAAGAGUUAGGUAAAUCCGGCUCUUUCUAAGGCUGAGACACGACGUCGAGCACCUACGGGUGUGAAGUCAUUGAUGCCAUGCUUCCAGGAAAAGCCUCUAAGCUUCAGAUUGUAAGGAAUCGUACCCCAAACCGACACAGGUGGUCGG